rnacentral:rRNA from 1 species
AAGACCUUGCGCUUUUGGAGCGGCCGAUGUCUGAUUAGCUAGUUGGUGGGGUAAUGGCCUACCAAAGCUUCGAUCAGUAGCUGGUCUGAGAGGACGGCCAGCCACACUGGGACUGAGACACGGCCCAGACUCCUACGGGAGGCAGCAGUGGGGAAUUUUGGACAAUGGGCGCAAGCCUGAUCCAGCCAUGCCGCGUGAGUGAAGAAGGCCUUCGGGUUGUAAAGCUCUUUCAGCCGGGAAGAAAAGGCUGCGACUAAUAAUCGCAGUUCAUGACGGUACCGAAAGAAGAAGCACCGGCUAACUACGUGCCAGCAGCCGCGGUAAUACGUAGGGUGCGAGCGUUAAUCGGAAUUACUGGGCGUAAAGGGUGCGCAGGCGGUUUUGUAAGUCAGAUGUGAAAUCCCCGGGCUUAACCUGGGAACU